rnacentral:rRNA from 1 species
UACGUAGGUGGCAAGCGUUGUCCGGAUUUACUGGGUGUAAAGGGCGUGUAGCCGGGCUGACAAGUCAGAUGUGAAAUCCGGGAGCUCAACCCCCGAACUGCAUUUGAAACUGUUGGUCUUGAGUAUCGGAGAGGCAGGCGGAAUUCCUAGUGUAGCGGUGAAAUGCGUAGAUAUUAGGAGGAACACCAGUGGCGAAGGCGGCCUGCUGGACUGCAACUGACGUUGAGGCUCGAAGGCGUGGGGAGCAAACAGG